GAAGACAUGGUCUGAACCAAAUCAGCCCUAACUUUCUCUCUCUCUUUACUUUAAGCAGAAUUAGAACAGCCAAUCCUUCCUUGAAAAGCAGAGUUUCUUUUCCUGAUCCAGAAACAUUUAAGUCACCGACAAAGUUUGUAGCAACGUCACAUCCUCCUGCCUGUCGUACAUCUGUCUCAUGAGGAGCAUGCAGCUGCUGAACUGAUCUUCCCACAAUGUCUAGGCCCAAAGUUCAUUCAGCACUCCAUCAGAAAACUGAGAAAAAAACCCCAAACUGAUUGUGUUUUAUGCAGCCAGACACUGGCCCUGGCCCCUGGCUGAUGCAAAAAUCCCAGUCCUGCUAAUCACCUGCACUGCACCUGAAGGAGAGGAGCGAGCUUUCUGGAGGCCUGCAAUGACAUCACAUAGGAAUCAUGAGCGACCAUCAAAAAUGACUGUUUAGUUCAGUCUCUUGUCACUGAAUGAACGCCAUGAAGACUCAAUAAGGCUGAGCUUUGUUACUAGGCUUGUUUGAUCAUCAAUAUGUGAAUACUCA
rnacentral:lncRNA from 12 species